GAUGAACGCUAGCGGCAAGCUUAAUACAUGCAAGUCGAGGGGCAGCAUGACUGUAGCAAUACAGUUGAUGGCGACCGGCAAACGGGUGCGGAACACGUACAGAACCUUCCUGCGAGCGGGGAAUAGCCCAGAGAAAUUUGGAUUAAUACCCCAUAGUAUUACGGAGUGGCAUCACUUUGUAAUUAAAGAUUUAUCACUUGAAGAUGGAUGUGCGGCUGAUUAGAUAGUUGGCAGGGUAACGGCCUACCAAGUCUACGAUCAGUAACUGGUGUGAGAGCACGACCAGUCACACGGGCACUGAGACACGGGCCCGACUCCUGCGGGAGGCAGCAGUAAGGAAUAUUGGUCAAUGGACGAAAGUCUGAACCAGCUAUGCCGCGUGGAGGAUGAAGGCCCUCUGGGUUGUAAACUUCUUUUAUAUGGGACGAAAAAGGACCUUUCUAGGUCAACUGACGGUACCAUGUGAAUAAGCACCGGCUAACUCCGUGCCAGCAGCCGCAGUAACAC
rnacentral:rRNA from 1 species